rnacentral:lncRNA from 1 species
AGGGAAACGCAUUAAUCAAGGUUUUAAAGAAAAUCAAUGAAAAAUAAAAGAGUUGUUAUUUGACUCUCAGAAACCUAAUGAAGAAGUUGCAAUGCGAGAAUACACAAGAAGGCAAUUAAUCUUAAUACGAAACAUAAUAAUAAUACAUACAACAAGACUUAAGUCGCGAAAAGUGAUAAAGCAUAGAUGUUCUGAGUAAAACUAAUUAUGAAGUCAUGCAUGUAUGAAGGCGUUACAUGCUAUUGGGAUAAUUAAGCAUAAGCAUACCUUUAACCUGACACAUUGGGUUAAAGAAAGAAAGAAAAAAAAAAAAGGAAAAAAGAAGAUAUGAUAGAAGGAAAGAAAAGAAUAAAGAAAUUUAUUGAAGAUUUUGUUGUGAGAGUUAGGCAAAAACCUGGCGCUGUAGUCUUAGUUGAAAUCGAAUGGUUGAGUUGAUGGAAGUGUAAUCUCAACUUGGAUGAGAGACUAACAUGGAAAAUAAAGAACACCAACAGCGACACCCAUAAGAUUGCUGCUAUCGAAUCUCUCUUGUUCGUCAUUGAUAUAUAUAUAUAUCAAGUAUAAUAACUAAAGAUCAACAGGUCGAUUUUCUUCCUUCUUGAUCCUCUUCUCUGGUUCAAACUUCUGUGACACGAACGAGCAACAAAAACACAACUUCUUGCUGUUGAUGAAAUUCCAUCUGAUAAAAACAAUAAACAAAAUGAUUCGACAUAUGUAAGAAUAUGG